GCCAGACUCCUACGGGAGGCAGCAGUGGGGGAUAUUGCACAAUGGGGGAAACCCUGAUGCAGCGACGCCGCGUGGGCGAAGAAGUAUUUCGGUAUGUAAAGCCCUAUCAGCAGGGAAGAAGAAAUGACGGUACCUGAGUAAGAAGCACCGGCUAAAUACGUGCCAGCAGCCGCGGUAAUACGUAUGGUGCAAGCGUUAUCCGGAUUUACUGGGUGUAAAGGGGGCGCAGACGGCAGCGCAAGCCAGGAGUGAAAGCCCGGGGCCCAACCCCGGGACUGCUCUUGGAACUGCGCGGCUGGAGUGCAGGAGGGGCAGGCGGAAUUCCUGGUGUAGCGGUGAAAUGCGUAGAUAUCAGGAGGAACACCGGUGGCGAAGGCGGCCUGCUGGACUGCGACUGACGUUGAGGCCCGAAAGCGUGGGGAGCAAACAGGAGUAGAUACCCGGGUA
rnacentral:rRNA from 1 species